ACACUGCCUCCACGAUCAUCAAUGAUGCGUACCGAUAUGAUUUUGGCGGUGGCCUCCUCGUCGACGUAGACCUUCUUGAAAGUGAUGGCCUGUUUAUCGUUGACGUUAGACCGAAUCGUAAGCGUGCCAACUUCAGUCGGUCGAAGAGAUUGUCCCUUGAUGCCCAUGAUGUUGAAGCGCUCCCACGGCUCCAACAACCGCACGUUGAAAAGUUCUGAGUGGUCAUACGUUAUGUGGUGAGUGGCGGCUGAGUCCAGAAACCAUUCCGUCGGACGAUUGCUGUUGCAUGCCACGAAUGCUACCUGCCGCGGAACUCCUGGCCCCCUAGCUGAUCCACCGGAUCCUGGCUUGCUGCCGCUAGCUCCGCUGCCACUACCUCCGUUACCACUGUUGCUGUAGCCACCCUUGUAGCCAGAAUUUGACGACUGCUUCAGCGCCUUAAGCUGCCUGCAGUCCUUAACCACGUGCCCAGGUUUAUUACAGUAGUAGCAGAUGACUUGCUU
rnacentral:lncRNA from 1 species